UACAGAGGUGCCGAGCGUUAGGCGGAAUCACUGGGCUUAAAGCGUGUGUAGGCGGAUGCCUAAGUACCUUGUGAAAUCCCACAGCUCAACUGUGGAACUGCUCGGUAUACUGGGUGUCUUGAGCCACUUAGGGGCUACCGGAACAAAUGGUGGAGCGGUGAAAUGCGUAGAUAUCAUUUGGAACGCCAAUGGUGAAAACAGGUAGCUGGGAGUGUGCUGACGCUGAGACACGAAAGCCAGGGGAGCGAACGGG
rnacentral:rRNA from 1 species